GGGGGCAUAGCUCAGUGGUAGAGCGAUCGCUUCGCAUGCGAUAGGUCGUGAGUUCAAUCCCCACUGCCUCCA
rnacentral:tRNA from 1 species